GAUGAACGCUGGCGGCGUGCCUAAUACAUGCAAGUCGAGCGAAUGGAUUAAGAGCUUGCUCUUAUGAAGUUAGCGGCGGACGGGUGAGUAACACGUGGGUAACCUGCCCAUAAGACUGGGAUAACUCCGGGAAACCGGGGCUAAUACCGGAUAACAUUUUGAACCGCAUGGUUCGAAAUUGAAAGGCGGCUUCGGCUGUCACUUAUGGAUGGACCCGCGUCGCAUUAGCUAGUUGGUGAGGUAACGGCUCACCAAGGCAACGAUGCGUAGCCGACCUGAGAGGGUGUUCGGCCACACUGGGACUGGAACACGGCCCAGACUCCUCCGGGAGGCAGCAGUAGGGAAUCUUCCGCAAUGGACGAAAGUCUGACGGAGCAACGCCGCGUGAGUGAUGAAGGCUUUCGGGUCGUAAAACUCUGUUGUUAGGGAAGAACAAGUGCUAGUUGAAUAAGCUGGCACCUUGACGGUACCUAACCAGAAAGCCACGGCUAACUACGUGCCAGCAGCCGCCGUAA
rnacentral:rRNA from 1 species